CAUAAACGAUGUUCACUAGGUGUCGGGGCUUUGCUUCGGUGCCGCAGCUAACGCAUUAAGUGAACCGCCUGGGAACUACGAUCGCAAGAUUAAAACUCAAAGGAAUUGGCGGGGGCCCGCACAAGCGGUGGAGCAUAUGGCUUAAUUCGAUGCAACGCGAAGAACCUUACCAGGGCUUGACAUGCAACUGCACGCUGUAGAGAUACAGUUCUUUCGAAGGUGUUGCACAGGUGGUGCAUGGCUGUCGUCAGCUCGUGUCGUGAGAUGUUGGGUUAAGUCCCGCAACGAGCGCAACCCUCACGGUCUGUUACCAGCGGAUAAUGCCGGGGACUCGGACUGAACUGCCUCUGUAAAGAGGAGGAAGGUGGGGAUGACGUCAAGUCAUCAUGCCCCUUACGCCCUGGGCUGCACAUAUGCUACAAUGGCCGGUACAAAGAGCUGCGAGCACGCGAGUGUCAGCAAAUCUCAAAAAGCCGGUCUCAGUUCGGAUUGGAGUCUGCAACUCGACUCCAUGAAGUCGGAAUCGCUAGUAAACGCCGGUCAGCAAUACGGCGUUGAAUACGUUCCCGGGCCUUGCACACACCGCCCGUCACGUGACGAAAGUCGGUUUCGCCCGAAGUCGCUGCGCCAACCGCAAGGAGGCAGGCGCCGAAGGCAGAGCCGGUAAUUGGCGCGAAGUCGUAACAAGGUAACCAAGGG
rnacentral:rRNA from 1 species